UGUAGGAACCGAAUAUUUCUAUCGUUCCACUUCGAUUAAAUGGUCCUAUCUACUAUUUAAUUCAAAGAAAAAGAGAUGUUGAUUAGCUGUGUAAGGGUUUAUUCUAAAGAGAUCAAGUAGUGAUGUUAUUUUAAUAUGUUGAACAUUUGAGUUUGUGGGAAAUGUUCAAACCCCACAUACUAAUUAAUAUUAUUAUUGCGUCUAUUGUGAGUCAAGCAAGACCACCAUGACUUUGACAGGAAGUCAGUUUGUUUCAGUUUCAAAAGCACACGCUCGUCGGCGAGAGGCUCAUUUCCAAAGAAGUGAAAAAGCUAAGAAAAUAGUUAGGGGGGGAAAUAAAUUAAAAUAAGAGAAAUUAGGACGUAUAUGCACAGAUUUCACAGAUAUUAAGAAAAUACCACGUAACUAUUCCAAUUUAUUUUAAUACCAUUUCACCCCUACAACCAAACACGCUUACUCUAUAUCUACUCUACAUAUAAUAUCAGAAGAUAUCACCAGACCCACCUAUUCUUCGUUUGAGCCCUUUCUAAACAGUAAUAUCCCCCAAAUCCUUUUUUUCAUUUAAUCAAAAAUUAUAAUUUUUCUACAGAGACCAAAACUAGAGAAUUUACCGUCGGCCAUUCCACAGAUUGUCACCACACCGGAGCCUGUUGUGGUCACUGAUUUUGACAUCAAAUCAGAGUCUGGGUGAAACGAAUCUCAAGAAGAAGGAGAGGAGAUCGAUGGACCACCCUCCCGCCGAAAAUAGUUCGAUAUUGUGUAAGUCCCACACACGCUAGAGAGCUGGAUGAAAAAUGCAAGGUUGAAGUGAUUUCGAUGGUAGUUGAUGCAACACAUUCUCAGAAGAGCUGACGUGAGAAGACAAGGUUGAUGAGGAACAUGUUGGCAACCUUGUACGACUAAUCGAGCAAGGUCAUGUGUUCAACAAGUCUAUGUACGCUAUAUUUAGAUUUGCUCUGGAUUUUUUUUUUUUUGAUUUUCCAGUGUACCUUAAACAAUAACCUAACAAAACGGCUAUUGAAGA